CGGUGUAAGCGGCCCCGGACCAUCCGAUUUCAAAUCAUGGUACGGCUCAGGCGCACCAACUUGUAAGCGGUAGGUCCCCAGUUCGAAUCCGGGUGCCGGCACCA
rnacentral:tRNA from 1 species